rnacentral:lncRNA from 1 species
AUCAAUUAGUGAGAAGCUGAUGUUUCCUAGUGGACUUACUAGGUUGAGCAUUCAAUUAAUUUGAAAGGUACUUUAUUACUAGUCGGUCCCCGAUCUGUGAGCACUCAUAAAAGCUGCAGCCCCUUGUGAAAGGUAGUGGUCUUUUUUUCCAUUCUACCACAGUACAAAGAUUCAUCAUUUCCUUAAGGUCCUUAUGGAUCUUAGAUUUGUUAGUAAAAAUAAAUGGAAAUUAGAGCAAAGUAAUGUUAGAUCAUCAUACCCAUGUGCCAAUUUACUCCUGCUGUGAAUUCAUUAUCUUCACAAACAUGUUCAACGAUGAACUUCACAUUCUGGCCCAUGCCUGUGGUGAGCUGUUGAUAGAAACGCAUAACUUCCUGCAGCAAUUCGAUUGAGAAAAAUCAAAAGUUAAUGUUAUAUCAAGUACAGAAGAAGUUUAUAGAAGUAUGAAGAGGAGACCUUUUUGCCUUGAAUUGGGGAUAUAAAUGUGCAAUCCUCAAAGCAGCAAUCAUCUGAAAUGUACUCAUUUAGUUCUUUUAACUUUUUCUCAUUGAUGCAGGCAUAGAAAUUCCUGAUUGUAUCUGCUGCAGAAAUCUGAUCCAAUGUAAUAUCAUCACUUUCAGCUGCUGAUGGCACGAUCAAGUCGAGCCUCCGAUUGUGGAAAGGUUUGUUCUGUUCAUGCCUUCUUAAACAGAUUCUCUGCUGCCCCAUUUUUGUAUUUUUAUAGGCUGCCUGAGAUGAAAGUUUAAAGGGCAUGGCUGCAGGCGUUGCUGCGGCGACCAUGGGUUUGAAGGAGAGGGUCUGCUGUGGGAUUUGGCAUGAGAACAUGAUAGCAGAAGCCAUUUCCUUCUCCCAGAGUAAGAUUGGGAAGAUGAGACAGAAGUUUAAGACGACAUACUAGUAGAAAG